rnacentral:rRNA from 1 species
GAUGAACGCUGGCGGCGUGCUUAACACAUGCAAGUCGAGCGAUGAAGUUUCCUUCGGGAAACGGAUUAGCGGCGGACGGGUGAGUAACACGUGGGUAACCUGCCUCAUAGAGUGGAAUAGCCUUCCGAAAGGAAGAUUAAUACCGCAUAACGUUGAAAGAUGGCAUCAUCAUUCAACCAAAGGAGCAAUCCGCUAUGAGAUGGACCCGCGGCGCAUUAGCUAGUUGGUGGGGUAACGGCCUACCAAGGCGACGAUGCGUAGCCGACCUGAGAGGGUGAUCGGCCACAUUGGGACUGAGACACGGCCCAGACUCCUACGGGAGGCAGCAGUGGGGAAUAUUGCACAAUGGGGGAAACCCUGAUGCAGCAACGCCGCGUGAGUGAUGAAGGUUUUCGGAUCGUAAAGCUCUGUCUUUGGGGAAGAUAAUGACGKUACCCAGGGAA